AUACAAAUAAGUGUCAAUAAGCAUAAAAGCCUAUGAUAUAACAAAAGUUCAUAUCCACAGUGAAUUAUCUUUAUUAUGCUUCUUCUUUAUUUAUGGACUUAUUUUGCUGUCAUUUUGGACAACUACUGUUAACAGUAUCUCAUUUGAUAAUUUUUUUGUUGACAUCUCUCUUUUUCCUAGAUUUAGUUGAAUGCAAAGCAAAGCUUUGAAAUGCAAAUAAUUGAUCAUUUUUCCUGUCCUCAACGAAGAUUGGAACAUGGCAAACCUUGAAUCAGUCUUGGAAAGAAUCAUCUAAUUACAGGAAAAUGUAGGAGUCUCAGGUCUUACCCUUACACACAUAAGGACUAGCUGAACAUGAAAUACAGACUGUGGCAAACUUGAAUUAUUUCUCAAAUCAGAUUUUCAUGAAACAUUUUUAUUUCUUUGAGUGAGGCAGAUUAAUUUUUCUAAUACUUUAUACAACCACCAUUAAAAUCUAGUGCAAAAAUAACUCUAGUGUCAAAUAUAAAUUAUGUUUAAUUUUGAAUAAACUUUUUCUCUUUUCUUUGGUUCUGGGACAAACUGCAAUUACUGAAGUCCAAGGAAUUAUAAAGCACUAUUUAAUCAUUUAUAUUAGAUAUCAAAAUUAGAGGAGAAUACAAAGACUAGCAUAUUAAAGGAGUAAAGUUUCUGAGACAAGAUGAAGAAAGUUUAAAAAGCUUUUAAGAAGAAAGUACAAUGUUCAAUUUUAGAACUAAAAGAAGAGAAACAACAAGAUUUGGCAGUGACUCUUACCAUAAAGAAUAUUAUUUCAAUUGUCUUCAUAAUUGAAGUUAAUAAUCUGUUUUGCUCUUUAAUAGAAAAUUGUAUUUCUUAUAUCUUUGUGAGUAUAAGACACUUCACUAAAACUAAGCAAACUAUUAGUGUUUGUAAAAGGGGAGUUGAAUUGAAUAGGGAUCAUAUUCUUUUAAAUGACCUUCCUCUUGCCCCUUGCAGCAGAGAGCCUGAUUCAGCCUUGGACCCUCGCAUUGGGUCAACCCUAACCUGCUUGUCUUUCUUUUGCUGCAGAGCAUAGAAUCAUAAUCCUGUUGGAGUCUCACUCCUCCAUCUAUUCAAGUUGACCUCUAACAAGAUUCUAACUCUUUUUCUCUCCCUUUGUCUGCGAAGAAAGUUUUCAUCUUAAAUUCUUCCAAUUUAACAGAGGGAAAAGGUUAACAAGAAAGUCAAUCUCCCCUCAAAAAAAAAAAAUGGUCCACAGUUUCCCACUGAAUUGGAGCCAAAAACUCUGCCAAUUUUGCUCUCAUAUCUCUGAGCUGUAGCCUGACCCUUCAUAUGACCAGUGGGGCUUGUUGCACAAGAUCUAUCUGGGCGCUUUUCUCGAAGUGCUAUCUUUGUCCAUAUUUCAAAACAUUCACAGAUAUUUUAUCAUUAAUUAGUAUUCAUAUUAUGUCUCAAACAAUCUGUUCAAGAAUAGGGGAAGUGAACUAGUUGAACAGCUCUUCUGUUUGUCUGGUAAUUAACAUGGAUGAUGUAUGUAGAGCCGAAGGCCUUACAAAGGGAGGAGGUACUCAAGUGUGGGGUAGGUAACUCCUGGAACAUUUAGAUGCCUACCUAUUUUGGAUACUGGGUUUCUCCAAAAAAAAAUUGUACUUGGCAAAAAGGGUGGGGAGACACAGGCCUCUUUAAAAAUAGACCCAUGCCUCUUUGAUUCACAGCAUCCUGGAUUUGCUUUUCAUCAUGUUAACAUGCCACUUGGGAGCUGGCUGGACUCCCUUGUUCAGUGACAUAUAUUUCAUAGUGUUUUUUUUUUUUUUAAACCAUUUGUUCUUUGAACCACAACAUGCUUUGAAUUUCUCUUUCAAAUUUGAGGGUGUAUAUAUAGAUUGAUCAAAACAAUAUUUUUAACAUUCCAAACAAUUUAGAAAGAUAGUGGAUGGGUGUCAGUUAAUCUAUUAUGUUCCCAUCUUCCUCCUCCCCCUCUUCAGCUGCUAAUCUUAGAACUUGUGUGCCAAAUUGUGUAAGAUAUUCUUCCAAUAGCUACAUGUGUGACUCUUUUGUGAGCUCUACAGACAGUUAUGAGGACAGAUUUGGAGUUGCAUAUGGGACUGUCACAUGGUUUGAUUGCCUUGUCUUCCAGGCACUGAAAAUUUUUUCACUGAGCUUUAAUACCGAGGAAUUUUUAGUUGUGGUAAAAGUUCAGCAAAGUCUCUAUUAAAGGUUUUACACACCCUGAGAAUGGGGAGCAAAAAGAAAUUUUUAUUCACCAUGACUCUGUAUUUGGCAUCUCUAUAUAUUGAAUAGUUCCCAUGUUUAUUCUUUCCAAUAGUGAAAAAAAUUCAGGGCUUCAUCACAGAAUUUUUAUGAAAAUCAAAAAAGAGUUAGUUAGCCUUUAUUAUCCUCCUUGCUCUUUUGGAGCAAGAUCUAGUAAAUGUCUAAACAGAAAAAAAAGUAGCAGAUGCUUUGUAAAAAGGUCUCAUAUAACUUAUGUCCAAUUAUAGAUGGUAAUUUGCUGAAAAAAAAUAUGAUCUAUCCAUGUAUUUAGGAGCCAGAAAUUCCAUGUCUUUAGUCUGUGAGAUGCAUAAGGUACAAAUCCAUUUUCAACUUUAAAGACACAUAUCUGAAAUCCUUCUUUUGUGACCUAAACUCCACAGCCCUUCAUCCCACUGAACCACAGGGCCAUCCUUAAGGAAUAUACAGCCUUGAGGCAAAGUCUUUUCCCUAGUUCUAUUUUACAUGUUCCUCAAGUAUAAAUAAUAACCUAGUGAUAUCUGUGUCCAAUGAAUAAGGACAUGCAUUAUGAUAUUAUAAAAAUAUUAAUCACAUAUACUCAAAGCUAAUUCUUUUAAGGUUCAGCCUUAAAAUAGUACACAACUGUUUAAGCACUAUUCAAAAUAGUGUAUCACUAUUUAUCCUUGUAUUAAUUUCUCCUUCAAAAACAAAUACAGUGGUUAAUUAUUCAGAUCUGUACCUUUAUCCUCUUAUGGAUCAAAAUCCAUGAAAAAACUCAGUCAGCCUUGUUACAUUGGGAGCAAAGUCUUAAUUCAGAAAUAAUAGUGAUGGCUAUCAUUUAUUGAUUCCCUGCUCUGAGCCUGCACUCCAUAUAAUAGAUACUUUAUAUACAUCUAAUCCCAGAGUAACCCACCAAAGAAGCUGUUAUUAUUAUCACCAUUUUUUCCAGUUAAGUAAGAACUCAGAGAAACAGCUUGAAUGAAGAGAAAAGUGUUUUCUUAUAUCAGACUUUAAUUUCCUUUUCCUGUCACAGGCUGGAAAAGUCCUGCACCCUGCUGGGAAAAUUGCACUAGUACCUUACACAAUGAAGCUUGUGAGUGGCGGAAUACAAACAGACGCUACUGUGUCCUUAAACCACACCCUAAAAAUCUUGGAAGCUGCACACAGGGCAUCAGACUUCACAUUCUUAUGGCCCACUGUUAUGUAAGGAACAGCAAGUUCAUUGCCACUGCUCUGGGUACCUGGCAGAAGAACUUAAGGACCCAUAAAAAGGGAUGGUGUGAUAUUCAUUCUAGAGUAUAAAGGCCAGGUAAAUACCCAAUAGUAGGAUUGCUGGAUCAAAUGGUAUUCGUGAACCAGGACAGUCUGAUGUGGUACAAAGAGCAGUGGACGAAGAGCUGAAAGACCUACUCCCAUCUAUGACACUUUUGAACCAUGUGAAAUUGGAUGAAAUCCAGAAUCACUCAGUGUUUCAACAUGCCUCCCUAUAAAACAGAGGGCAAUUAUGCCUGCUGCCUUCAUAGAGUUGUUAUGAGAAUCAAAUGAGAUAAUAGCUCCUCUGCUUGCCGAGAAUUGAACUUACAUACGAAAUUCAUUAUGAUACUCCACGGAACCAGAGAUCUUCCAUUUCAUAGGCUCCAUGCUUCUUAGAAGGAUGGUGUAAUUACACAAACAAUGUAGAGUCCUAAGUUCAUAAAGACCUAUUGAGUGUUAAGCUUUGGAGAAGUAGUUAACUACAAAUACCACCUAUGCAUUUAAUUUUCAGUCCAAUAGCCUCACUAAACAAUAGAUAGGGCCUAAUUCUGAUUCUUGGGCAAUAAACUGUGUCUAAUUUUAAAAAUUAAGAGGAGGUGAAAAUAAUACAUAAAACACUAUCUGCUUCACUCUUUUAAAACUUACAUUCUUUGUGUCCAUUAUGGCAGAAGUUGGCAGAUUUUUUCCUGGAGGCCAAAUAGGAAUAUUUUUUACUUUGUGGGACAUACAGUGUCUUAGUUGCAACUGCCCAGUUUUAUUUUGUAUAGUGACAGCAGCAUAAAUGACUGAGUGGGGCUGUGUUUCCAUAAAACUUUAUUUAUAAACACUGAAAUUUAAAUUUCACAUAAUAUUCACAUGUGAUGAAAUUAGAUUCUUCAUCCGAUUUUUUCAACCAUUUAAAAAUAUAAAACACAUUCUUAGCUCCAUACAAGAACUGGUACAAAGGCUAUAGUUUGCCAACCCCUAAAUCAUGAUAUUUUUUAUAGUUGUGAAAGAAACAUACUACCUGUUGUCACAAUUUGCUGCCCUGCCCUAGCAAAAUCUCAGAAGAGUUAAUAUAGGUCUUAGAGGAAAAUGAAUACUUUUCUCACUAAGUACAACAAAGUCCAUUAUUUCUUACUUCUUCCUAUCUCAAAAGUGCAAUAUAAUUAUUUUUCUGAGAAAAUAGAUUUUGGAGUAAUGGACGAAUUAGGGUGCAUUCUUCUUUAAGCCACUGUCUCUCAAAUUGUGUAUCAUAGAACUCAAAUUCCCCUAAAUUUUAAUGUUAUUAAAAAAAAGUGGAGGGGAAAUUCUAUGGGAUUUACCAUUUAAAUUAGGUAGAUGUGCAUCAGAUCAAAGCUGAACAUAUUUUCUUUUUACAGAACCUUGUAUUUUUCAGAGCUUUUUAAAUAUGAUGAUGGCAAUCAUAACUCUCCAAGAGGAAGAUACUAUAUGCAGUGAUUCCUAACUUACUGGCCACAGAACUCUUCUUUCUUGAAGCAUGUUAAGGAACUGAUACAUUGGAAGAAACCUAAGGAUAUUCACAGGCUGAAGACCAGGAGCAAGGGAGAGGAAGAAGGUGAUGUUAAAUAUUAGAAAAGGUAAGAUUGCCAGAGCAGGACUCAUGAAGAGGCAAAAGCAGUUCAGAGCCGUAGCACAGGUAGAGAGAUUGACCUGGUGGACAUUCAGUAAAAUGUUCUUCAGUUACGCAUAAGAAUGAUAAAUUAAGGGUUAAGUGUCAUAGGUAAUAUUAAUAGUUUUUUAUGUACAUUAAUGCUAGUUGGUAUUUCUGUGCUUUUUUCUAAUGUUUGCAAGGAGUUUGUAUUUAUUAUUUUUAUUAUGUAGUUACUUAUUGAUAAAGAAUUAAGAGAAAGCCCCUACUCUGAGAGUAUCAUAGAUCAGAAAGAGGCUGAACCAGAAAUCAAAAGACCUUGGUUCCAGUCUCAGCAGGAACAUAUAUGCCUUUGGGUCCAUAGAAAUAGCUUUUAUGACUUGUCCACAUUUAUAAAAUAUUUAGGAGGUAUAAUCAAGAGUAUAUGUUGAUUACUAUGAGGUGGGAAAAGAAAGGAAAGAAUCAAAAAUGACUCCUAGGUUUCUAAUUUUGAAUAACUGGGUGGAUGGUAAAAAUACUAGACAGAAAAUAAUAAUACCAGAUUAUUAGGAUCCAUUGAUGCAAUGUAUAUAUAUAUAUAGAGAGAGAGAGAGAGAUAGAUAUACUCAAUCUAUAUGUAAAUUAAAACUAUUCAAUAAAAGACAAUGUUCAGAAACUGAUAAUGUUCCCUAUAAAUAUAGAAUUUAUGGAAUAAACUAUAAUUAGCUAAAAUGAGGAGCCAAACUAUAGUACAGUCUUAAAGCAUGUGAGGUAAGUGGGAGAAAAUAAUUAAAUAAUCUCACUGUUAAAAGGGAUGGCAGAAAUACACGGAAUUUUUAACAAUUUAAAUUUUCCUGCAUUCUUAUUUAUCCUGAGGUGCCAUUGGUCUUGUUAUUUAACUUUCCCAUUAUUUCUUCUGAAACAAUUGCAUUACAGUAAUAGUAGAUAAAUACAACCCUGGAGUACUAUAGAUCACUGAAAUGUUGGUUGCUUCAAGCAAAAAGAAGUAUCAAAUCAAGUUAGUUUCUAGAUUGCUGUUCUCCUGGGCACUGGUUCAUCGUUCAGAGCUGUCAAAGGGUCUUGUCACUCCCAAGCUUCUGUGACAUGCAGAACUAAUUGUUUGCAGCCCAAGGCAUUGCAUGUCCCACUUUUAAAGCCAUCAAGCCAAGCAUUUUCUGAAUUAUCUGAUCACUCUAAUUCCUCUAUAUUAAUGGCACAAUAAUGGUGUUUUAAAUUGCAUUGUUUUAUAUUAGUAAUUCUCACUCACCUGCUGGGAUGUAAACAAGUCCUCAUUCUACCUACAGAUGAUUCAAAUUAUUUCAGACCUUCUGUCUUAGUGAGUUUGAGAUGCAUUUUCAAGCUUUCCAUAUUUCAGAUGACUUUUUGAAAGAGCAAAAAUAGCAUUGUGAUCUUUGGGCCAAACCUUUCAAAAGUCCAAACAUAUGAAAUCUUUCCAGAUUUCCCCUGCUAUUAGUGACCUGGCCACCUUAAAAAUCCCAGAGAACUUAUCUGAAUGAUUUGUUUAUCACAGCCUGUGCUGCCUA